rnacentral:tRNA from 1 species
UCCUCGAUAGCUCAGUCGGUAGAGCACGCGGCUGUUAACCGCGCUGUCGUAGGGUCAAGUCCUACUCGGGGAG